AUUGAACGCUGGCGGCAUGCCUUACACAUGCAAGUCGAACGGCAGCACGGGAGCAAUCCUGGUGGCGAGUGGCGAUCGGGUGAGUAAUAUAUCGGAACGUGCCCAGUCGUGGGGGAUAACGCAGCGAAAGCUGUGCUAAUACCGCAUACGAUCUAAGGAUGAAAGCGGGGGAUCGCAAGACCUCGCGCGAUUGGAGCGGCCGAUAUCAGAUUAGCUAGUUGGUGGGGUAAAGGCCCACCAAGGCGACGAUCUGUAGCUGGUCUGAGAGGACGACCAGCCACACUGGAACUGAGACACGGUCCAGACUCCUACGGGAGGCAGCAGUGGGGAAUUUUGGACAAUGGGCGCAAGCCUGAUCCAGCAAUGCCGCGUGCAGGAUGAAGGCCUUCGGGUUGUAAACUGCUUUUGUACGGAACGAAACGGCCCUUUCUAAUACAGGGGGCUAAUGACGGUACCGUAAGAAUAAGCACCGGCUAACUGCGUGCCAGCAGCCGCCGUAA
rnacentral:rRNA from 1 species